AGCAGUAUUAGUUGGUACUGGGCCUAUUGGCAAUGAAACCCGCAAAUUUCGCGUUGAUAUUGAAAUAGAAACUUUCACAUCUCAUCUGGAUGAUGGAUGAUGGAUGAUGGCUGAUGGGUGUGUUUGAAUUCUUUCAAGUUCCAAAUUUAUUACGGAGUAGUUGGUUUCUUGAUCUUUGUAUUAGAGCAUCUUCAACGGUAAAUGCAAUCCCGAAUUAGUAAGAAUCUGAAUUUAAGUUUAAUUAGAACCAAAAAAAUAAAUUGCGUCUAAAUAAUGCUAUCAAAUUUGUUGCCUGGCGCAGGUAGCAACAAAGCGUGGCGUUUUGGAAAACACUACUUACACCACUAAUCACUACUACCAGUCUACCACUAGUCCUACUCCUACUCCUACUCCUACUCCGUACUACAUUUCCAAAUUUUCUUUGAAGCGGUGUCUUAAUUUGGUCAAACCGGUACGACGUACAAGUUAUCUAAAAGCUACUGUAAUACCGAACCCGAGACCAGUACUUAGAAGAAGAGAAAAUGUUGUGUUCAUACACAUAAAAUAAAAUGGUAUGAACUAUGAAGUACUCCGUAUAUAUUUACUCAUUCCUUGGUCU